CAACAAUUUGGUGCUUACAUAUUAGUUUUAAGAUAUUUAAAAUCAAGUAACGUGACAUGCCCUCAAAUGCAUUUCUACAGAGUCAUAAUUGAAAACACUUUAAAUAGCACAUAUGGAAAUAGUGAGGCAGAGAGAUAGAAGGAAAACAAUGCACAAUGAAAACCAGAGCUCCAAAUCUAAACUCUUUUAUUCUAACUCCUAGAUGAGGCAUGUUGGUGAUAGUUAUUUUGUUUAACAAGCAAUUAUUAAGCACCAUAUAUUUGUGUGUGGAUGGAUGGAUGGAUAGAUAGAUGAUAGAUAGAUAAUUUGGCAUUGUUUUAAGAGGUAUGAUAUAGAAAAUAGUAGCCCUUUGAAAUUUAUAAUCUACACAAGCAAAUCUCAGAGAGUUAUAACAAACAUAAGCACAUAAGAAGUAACAGAGCCUAUAAGAAAGGGCUAAGGGGAUACAAAGUCAGAAGUGGUCACUGCCAAAAGCACCAAGCAGGCAAACUCGUUGAAAGGCACCAAUCUUGAACUGCCUUAAACAAAAACAUGUCAGGUACUAGGAGAAAGAAGGAGGAUUUCCAUUUCGAGGAAACAAGGACAAGAGGCAGGGAGAGGUUAGGCAGGAAAAGAAGCCAAGGGCCAAUUUCAGAAGUAGCAAGAGGUAGAUUGAGAUCGUCAAGUCAGGGGACCAAAUAUAGUCUGGGUCAAAUUGAAAGCAUUGGGAAACUUUUUAAACAGUUUAGAAAAUGCUUUAAAAUUAAAACUUGCUUUUUAUUUGCAAAUACUACAAUCAUAGCUCUCAAUAAUGUGAAGCAAACAUAGUGCUAAGGAUGUAUAUUAACUCAUGUGAUGCUCACACUAACCCUGUGAAGUAUGAACGCUGUUACAGAUGAGGCCCUCACGGCCAGAGAGAGGAAGUGAACACAGAAGUCAGUGCAGAUCUCUUUGUCUCUAAGGUGAAUGCUCUCAGCCACUCUGUCAUAAUAUCUCCUGUUCAAAGGGGACUUGGCAGUAUAUGACAAAAACAGAGUGGAAAUGGCAGGCCCUAUAAGGAAAAAAAAUGAUUGUCAACAAUAGUUCCUAGGCCUGCUAUUUGGGUUCACAUGCUGGGAAAGGGGUUUCAUGAUGAGCAUCCAUUUUGAGAACUCAUGCUAGAUACAGAUGAGAAUGUAGGGCUGAAAUUAUAACCAAGUAAUAAAUGAAAAAAUUAGUAAACCUCUUAUCACAAAAUUAGACACUUGUCAGAACCACAGAGUUUUCAUUUACCCAAAUUUUUUAAAAGGCGGGAAGAAAUGGAUGUGUGAAAUUGCGCGUUUCAAGGCAUCAGUUCCCUCUCUUUCCCUGCCACUGAUGGGGUGCACUCAUUUGUAUCUUUUGUCUUUAUUUUCUGACACAUAGGAAAAGGAAGAUUUGAUAAAGCAUAUAAAAUGCAACUGAUCAGUCAAGACUGCAGACAAAUAUUUCAGUUCCAGAAUGUUUAUGGCAUAUGUUUUGAAGUUUCUAAAUUACCAUAUGUUUUUAUUGUAAACAGGGACUGCUUCAUUUGUUGAAUAGCAAUGAUACAUUGUGUUGACUGUUUCUGACAUGAUAUUGAAUUCAAAACUUCAGGGGGAAAAGUAACCUCUAAAUAUUCCUAACCCUGACUUCCCUGUUUUAGAGACAGAAGCUGUUUGCAUUUUACCAUCUACUAUUACU
rnacentral:lncRNA from 1 species